rnacentral:rRNA from 1 species
CAUGUCUUAAUGUUAAAUUUUUAUUAAGUCUGUCCUGCUCAAUGAUUUUUAAUUAAAUAGCCGCAGUAUUUUGACUGUGCGAAGGUAGCAUAAUCAUUUGUCUUUUAAUUGAAGGCUUGUAUGAAUGGUCGGAUGAGGGAGCUGCUUUCUUUAUAUUAUUUAUUGAAUUUAAUUUUUUAGUUAAAAAGCUUAAAUUUUUAAAUAGGACGAGAAGACCCUAUAGAAUUUGAUUUUAUCUUUAUAAAUUUGAUUUUUGGUUAACUAAUCUGUUUAUUUAUAUAGAAUUUUGUUGGGGCGACAAUGAGAUUUUUUUAACUCUCAUAAUUUAUUUUUUAUUAAUAUAUAUAUAUAUGAUCCCGUUUUAAGGAUAUAUAGAUUAAAUUACCUUAGGGAUAACAGCGUAAUUUUUCUGGAGAGUUCUUAUCGAUGGAAGAGUUUGCGACCUCGAUGUUGGAUUAAAAUUAGAUUUAAGUGCAGAAGCUUAAUUUUCUAGGUCUGUUCGACCUUUAAAUUUUUACAU